UCACUUAAACACCCCACAAUUAUCAUUUCUUUAUAUCUAGGAAAAUGAAGUUCGCACAUGUAUAUGUUUUAGCUUCAUUUUGUAUUGCUUUUGUCGGAAUUGGUGUGACACUAUCAGGAGAAGAUUAUUGGCAAACGAUAUACAUUUACACCAAAAUAAAAGUAUCACACGUAUCAUUUACACCAAAAUAAAAGUAUCACACGUAUCUUUAUUUAGAGACCACAAAUCAACUUGGCGAUUGAGAAUGCAAAUAAUCAUGCACGGAGGACAUGUGCAUCAACUUUUCUACCACCUUGAAUGAAUCAAUAUGACUAGUAGGACAAGUUUUGCAUGCAACUAUAGUUAUGCAUUUAAUGGAUCGUUCAUUUCUCAUGUCUUAAAGUAAACAUGCUCAAUAGCAAGUGUUAUUUAGUUGA